UACGUAGGGAGCAAGCGUUGUCCGGAAUCAUUGGGCGUAAAGCGCGCGUAGGUGGCCUCAUAAGUCCGCUGUGAAAGUCAAAGGCUCAACCUUUGAAAGCCGGUGGAUACUGUGAGGCUAGAGUACGGAAGAGGCGAGUGGAAUUCCUGGUGUAGCGGUGGAAUGCGCAGAUAUCAGGAGGAACACCAAUAGCGAAGGCAGCUCGCUGGGACGUUACUGACACUGAGGCGCGAGAGCGUGGGGAGCGAACAGG
rnacentral:rRNA from 1 species